rnacentral:rRNA from 1 species
AAGGCUCCAGCUUGCUGGGGUACACGAGUGGCGAACGGGUGAGUAACACGUGGGUGACCUGCCCUGCACUUCGGGAUAAGCCUGGGAAACUGGGUCUAAUACCGGAUAGGACCGCACCGUGAGGGUGUGGUGGAAAGUUUUUUCGGUGUGGGAUGGGCCCGCGGCCUAUCAGCUUGUUGGUGGGGUAAUGGCCUACCAAGGCGGCGACGGGUAGCCGGCCUGAGAGGGUGGACGGCCACAUUGGGACUGAGACACGGCCCAGACUCCUACGGGAGGCAGCAGUGGGGAAUAUUGCACAAUGGGCGGAAGCCUGAUGCAGCGACGCCGCGUGGGGGAUGACGGCCUUCGGGUUGUAAACUCCUUUCACCAUCGACGAAGGGUUUCUGACGGUAGAUGGAGAAGAAGCACCGGCUAACUACGUGCCAGCAGCCGCGGUAAUACGUAGGGUGCGAGCGUUGUCCGGAAUUACUGGGCGUAAAGAGCUCGUAGGUGGUUUGUCGCGUCGUCUGUGAAAUUCCGGGGCUUAACUCCGGGCGUGCAGGCGAUACGGGCAUAACUUGAGUACUGUAGGGGAGACUGGAAUUCCUGGUGUAGCGGUGAAAUGCGCAGAUAUCAGGAGGAACACCGGUGGCGAAGGCGGGUCUCUGGGCAGUAACUGACGCUGAGGAGCGAAAGCAUGGGGAGCGAACAGGAUUAGAUACCCUGGUAGUCCAUGCCGUAAACGGUGGGCGCUAGGUGUGGGUUUCCUUCCACGGGAUCCGUGCCGUAGCUAACGCAUUAAGCGCCCCGCCUGGGGAGUACGCCGCAA